CACACCAGACUCCACACGCUCCGCCAAGAGCAGCUGAUGGAGACCCUGGAGUGUCUGCUGCAGAUGGGCAGCUACCUUCAUACCAAUGAGUGCACAUCCUAGAUUUUGACCUCUUGGCUCAUCGGCCCGGCAGGGCUUUUUGGAACCCGACGGUAAUGUUCAGAGUUGGUUCAGGUCUGAAUUUGAACGGAGAGAGACCAUAGUUAGUGGAGUUUGUUUUCUCUCGAAGCUUGAGUUCAGGCCUGUCAUGUAAAGCAUCUGGGGUUUUGUGUGUGGUAAAAAUGCCUGACCUGCAAUCAGGUAUUUGUCACAACCCGCACAGAGACGUCAGGUGCACAUCAGCUGGUUUCUGUGAAACUUCCCUCGUUUGUUACAUUGCAGUAACAAGUCGUCCUCGGUUAGUGUGUCUGUGGCGAUCAAAAUGUAAAAUCCUAUGAGAACAUUUUUUAAAUGUGGUAGUUUAAACUGUCAGAGUUAUAGAAUUUUACGUCAGAUCUGUUAAAAAAGACUUUUUUUACUAGAGGACAGACAUUUUUGUAAGUUUUGGUUUUUUUUUUGUGACAGGGAGUAAAUCCAGUUUAGAGUGACUGCCUUCACGAGUCAUAUCAUGUAAAACGUGCAGCAAGUUUUAGUUUAGAAUAUUGUCAAGUUUCUGGACUUUUCUACAUAUGCAAACUGUACGUUGUCAAAUGAUUUUUAUUGCGAUCUAUCACUUAAGAAAUAGUAGGUUGCUUUCUCGCUGUGAGAGGAGAAUAUCAGUCAGAUCUCUUUGCGUUCUGCAGAAGAAAAUUAUAUUAUCUCGGCUCGCUCAGCUCAGUGAAGGCAGGGGAAAGAGAAAAGAUUUGCCCUCUGUAUGAUGUAUCACCAAUAAUUCUGAAAUUGUAAGAUAAUACCACCACUGUGACACUCACAAUAAGCACUUAAGUUUAGUUUACACGUCUCAUUUUAACUCAUUUCCUGGCUCCUACGUCUGUGUUUACACGUCGCUUAUCACAUAACCUCCUUACAGCCAACUGCGUUUGGUGAAGUUCGAGCACGCGCUGCUGCCGUUUUUUUUUGUAAACACUCGCCGUCAGCAUACUGGAAAAAAAAAGAAACAGCUUCUCUCUAAGGCAGUGGGCAUGGGUAGAUUUGUAGAUGUUUCAAAAAGUCGUUUAAAUAUAACGUAUUCGUUGUCGUGAUCGUGACUGGCGUGUGAUCAUUUUUCUCAAAAUACAAUAAUUUUGAGCCUCUGGAACGAUACUUUAACGUCUCCAAUCUGGUCAGAAAACAAAAUAUUGUUGGCAUGACAAGCAGUUAGAUAGAUAUUGAAGCUAUGGACUUAAGCAGCAACCUCUGAGGCUGAAAAAAAAAAAUACAACACAGAAGCGCCAAAAACUGCAGUUCAGUGAAUGUCCACUUGAGGCUGACUCCAAAACAGAGUAAAUCCCCACAAACAUGUUGAAAUGCCAAAAUGUACAGCAGAAAUAGCUCAUUUCAGCACCCAUUACAACUAUGCAGCGCUGAAUCUUUUUAUAACUCACCUGUUUACGUUUGAUUUAAGGCCCAAAGCUACACAUAUUUAAGGGCGGGGCGGUAAUCUCCUCAGGUUUCACAGGUUUACAUGCUUGUAGGAAGCAGGUGGUGGGCAGCGGUGUAGUGGCGAUUUCUACGCAGAUGACAGGAGUUUUUUUGUUGUUGUUUUUUUAACUACUGAUAAAGUUAGUAUUUUUUAAUGAUAAAUGGUCACUAAAUUGUGGACCACAAGUGGUAUGAAAUAUGUCGACUUGGAACAAAACCACAGAUACAUGCAGCACUUAAAGUGAGAGUAGGCGAUGAAAAUGUAAUCAAGAACUGAUUUACUCUCCAUAUAAUUGUGUUCAUUUAAAGUAUAUUAUUUAUUCACUGGGACACUUAUAAUGUGGGGGAUUAUUGUAUUGAAUCUAUACUCUUCUGAAAGACUCAGGUGCUGGUUAUAGUUUAUUUAGUGAAAAAGGAACUACUGUUACAAGUUUCUACAGUCAUUUUAAUGUAUAUCAACCAGUUGGGGAUUAUGUUUCCUGUUUUUAUUUGAGUAUUUUUUUAUCUUCAAAGCUGAGAAUGUUUGAAAAAUGUGAGUUUAAUAAAGAAAAGUCGAUGUGUGAUUCAGCUUUAAACCUUAAACAACUUUAAACCAAUUUGACCUUGAAGUUGUUUUUGUAGUACUAAAUAUUAAUGAAUACAAAUGAUGUCAUUGGUUUGACUGCAUUGUUUUUCUAUAUGAAUAUCAAAUCAGGUGAUUUGAUCUCGUAAUAAUCAUAAUAAGUGCCGAUUACCAAGUUUGAAAAAAUCACAAUCAUUUUAAUCAUGAUGUUGAAGAUUAACGGGUGAGCUCGAGUUAUUGUUCUGCUUUUAAGGAUUUCACACACAAAUACAUAAACAACCGUACAAGAAUAUGUUGUGUGAUAAUUCAGUUGUUGUCAAGUAGUUUAUAAUUUGUAUAAAAUGACAAUAUUUGUUUAAAUACAGUUAUUCACAUUGGUGAUGGAUAUCAGUUGUAGUUAUCAUAAUCCAUGCUCCUGUAAUAUUAUGUGCAUGUUCAUCUGAAGGGGAAAGAGAUCAAUAAACUUUUGGGUUCAAUAAA